AGCCUGGAGAAACAUGAACAGAAAGAUGCCCAAAGUUCUGCAGAGACAAAGAUAAAGACAUCUGUACGUUAUCUACAGAGCCAGCAAAAUGCAGUCAAGGAAUGAAGCCCCAGGCUGGAAUCUGACUUGGCAAUUUAAAGAUCUGACAUCAAGGGAAGGUCGAGAAGGACCUGAAACUAAGUAUUGUAUACAAAUGAUUUUUAAAAAUACAAAUACUAUUAACUCUCUUAAGAAUACUCUAUGGGUACUUGGUGUAACAAAUGGAGAGGAAUGAGACCACUUGAGCAGAAAACCACCCGCAAGGGCUCCUAAAAUCCCAUUG